UGUUGGUUAAGAGGGAGAACAACGUCCCGGUUCUUAGUUUUAUUAAUGCACUUGUUGUCGUUUUCCGUGCUUUCAACCUCCCCUAGAAAUUGUUAGUUUGAUAAAAUCAUUUUAUAUUUCUAAUUUUACCAAAUAUAUAAACCCCAGUUGUGUUUUGCACCUAUUUUUAUUUUGAAAUGAGUUCAAAACGACUGCUUUUGAUCAUGUGAAAAUCAUACAAAUUUAAAUAUUUAUACAUUGUACAAUUAAUACUGUGUGUACUGUUAUACUGUGGUUUGAUAAACAGCGACUGUUAUUUUGUGGAUUUUUGAGAUUGCAAAUAGUUGUAAAACAGUUCGGUUUCGGUUUUGAUUUUUCCAGUUGGAGUUAAGAUCGGUACUUCGGAUUGAGUUAAAAACGCCCCGUCUAUCUCUCUCUCUGUGACUCUGUCUAUACUCUAUACAACGGAGUCGGACAAGUGAAUAGACUGUAAAAAAGCCCAGUGAAAGCCUGGUCCAGUCCACUCAAAUGGUUUCUUUUUUUUUUUACCUUGAUAAAUAAGUCAUUACAGUUUACACAUUAGGACCGUUACAAAAAAACUUGUUACCGUUGUGAAUAAUUUAAUAUUUUUUCUUUUACAGCAUUAAAAGUUACACGGCCCAAUGUUGCGUCUCAUUUUGAAAUCGGUGCCGUAUACAAUUAAGACUGGUUUAGCACACCAACCCAGUGAAAAAUACAGAGGUUUAACCUUUUUCUCUCUACCUUUGCUCUUUAUCUUUUGUAACAGCAAGAUGAGUUCAAUUAUCACCCAGCUGACUCUCUGGUGCGAACUGCCUCACUGCUUCUUCUCCCUCAAAAACUAAUCUCGUGUGGAAUACAGGGUGAGUAAAUGACAAUUCUUGAUUCCAAAACAAGAAAAUGAUCCUUAGGUGUCCCAUUAUUGUUUUUACAAGUAGCUUUGAUUUUGUCUGAUGAAAGCUCUUUUUUAAUAAACACAGACAAUGUUGAUAACUUCAAAAGGAAAUUAUCGGAGCAGGAGUUCAAAUGCCAUCGAAAAGAAGAUGCAAAAGGGGGCUCCAAGGCCAGAACUGUUCGUUCCUGUAUCGUUGCGGUAUAGUCACUAUGCUUUUAGUUUAUUUGACUUUUUUAGUUUUUCCACUUCUUUUCUUUGUCAAAGACUACUUUUCAUUUAUCAGCAGCUAUUGUUUUUUUCUGUAUACAUCAGGUAAAUAAGGAAGAAAAAGCCCAUUAAAUGUUCUGUAAUUAAAAGUGUGGUUGGGACAACAUCUGUUUGUGAGUUGAUUACUUUUUUUUUUCUUUGGUAUUUUAUAUGAAAUGUUUACUUACACAGAGCUUUGAUUGAGGUUGAUGAUUGUUGAAAUUAGGUUGCUGAGGAACAGUGCAAGUGUAGGAGGAAACGUCAAGGAACAAAACAAGGUGAAGAUUGUAAUCCAUCCUAUGUUCCGUUUUGACUGAGCCUAUCGAAAGAUGUCGCAUCUCUCUUCGAGAUAUCUCUUCUUCCUCGACACAAGUCUUGGCCCAAGAAGAUAUGGGCUUUGAACAAGGUCUUUUUCUUGAAAACUCAUUUUUUUCACAAUUUUUUGGAUUUUAAAGCUAAAUUUAAAAUAUUUUCCAAAUAAAUGUAUUAUCAUAUAAAAUAUUUUCAGAUUUAAGAUUAAUUUUUAAUUAUUUCAAUAAAUAAAAAUAUUAACAAUACAAAAUAUUUUAAGCUUACACAUUUUAGAUUAUACUAAAAUUACUGUUAUUGACUAAACAAUGUAUUUUCAUUUUGGAAAAAGUUCGUUAGAGACGAGUGUUUAACAUGUUUAUUUUUCGUAUUGUGAAUGAAUUUCAAUAUGUUGAAAACAAAUCAAGCUAUUGCACCCGGUCUUUUCCGUUGGCGGUGUGGAUGUUUAACAUGUUUUCUUCGUAUUGUGAAUGAAUUUCAAUAUGUUAAAAAACAAACCUAACUAUUGCAUCUAGUCUUUUUCCACAAUGAAAAUAUAUUGUUUAGUUAAUAAUAACACUUUUAGUAAAAUUUAAAAUUUGUGAAAAUAUUUAGAUUAUACUAAAACUAUUAUUAUUAACUAAACUUAAAAUAUUUUAAAGAAUAAUUUAAAAUAUUUUCCCAAUAAAUGUAUUACCAUAUAAAAUAUUUUCAGAUUUAAGAUUAAUUUUUAUUUAUUUCAAUAAAUAAAAAAUAUUAACAACACAAAAUAUUUUAAGCUUACACAUUUUAUAUUAUACUAAAACUAUUGUUAUUGACAAAACAAUGUAUUUUCAUUUUGAAAAAAGUUCGUUAGAAGCGAGUGUUUAACAUGUUUUUUUUUUGUAUUGUGAAUGAAUUUCAAUAUGUUGAAAACAAACCAAGCUAUUGCACCCGGUCUUUUCCGUUGGCGGUGUGGAUGUUUAACAUGUUUUCUUCGUAUUGUGAAUGAAUUUCAAUAUGUUAAAAAACAAACCUAACUAUUGCAUCUAGUCUUUUUCCACAAUGAAAAUAUAUUGUUUAGUUAAUAAUAACACUUUUAGUAAAAUUUAAAAUUUGUGAAAAUAUUUAGAUUAUACUAAAACUAUUAUUAUUAACUAAACUUAAAAUAUUUUAAAGAAUAAUUUAAAAUAUUUUCCCAAUAAAUGUAUUACCAUAUAAAAUAUUUUCAGAUUUAAGAUUAAUUUUUAUUUAUUUCAAUAAAUAAAAAAUAUUAACAAUACAAAAUAUUUUAAGCUUACACAUUUUAUAUUAUACUAAAACUAUUGUUAUUGACAAAAGAAUGUAUUUUCAUUUUGAAAAAAGUUCGUUAGAAGCGAGUGUUUAACAUGUUUUUUUUUUGUAUUGUGAAUAAAUUUCAAUAUGUUGAAAACAAACCAAGCUAUUGCACCCGGUCUUUUCCGUUGGCGGUGUGGAUGUUUAACAUGUUUUCUUCGUAUUGUGAAUGAAUUUCAAUAUGUUAAAAAACAAACCUAACUAUUGCAUCUAGUCUUUUUCCACAAUGAAAAUAUAUUGUUUAGUUAAUAAUAACACUUUUAGUAAAAUUUAAAAUUUGUGAAAAUAUUUAGAUUAUACUAAAACUAUUAUUAUUAACUAAACUUAAAAUAUUUUAAAGAAUAAUUUAAAAUAUUUUCCCAAUAAAUGUAUUACCAUAUAAAAUAUUUUCAGAUUUAAGAUUAAUUUUUAUUUAUUUCAAUAAAUAAAAAAUAUUAACAAUACAAAAUAUUUUAAGCUUACACAUUUUAUAUUAUACUAAAACUAUUGUUAUUGACAAAACAAUGUAUUUUCAUUUUGAAAAAAGUUCGUUAGAAGCGAGUGUUUAACAUGUUUUUUUUUUUGUAUUGUGAAUGAAUUUCAAUAUGUUGAAAACAAACCAAGCUAUUGCACCCGGUCUUUUCCGUUGGCGGUGUGGAUGUUUAACAUGUUUUCUUCGUAUUGUGAAUGAAUUUCAAUAUGUUAAAAAACAAACCUAACUAUUGCAUCUAGUCUUUUUCCACAAUGAAAAUAUAUUGUUUAGUUAAUAAUAACACUUUUAGUAAAAUUUAAAAUUUGUGAAAAUAUUUAGAUUAUACUAAAACUAUUAUUAUUAACUAAACUUAAAAUAUUUUAAAGAAUAAUUUAAAAUAUUUUCCCAAUAAAUGUAGUACCAUAUAAAAUAUUUUCAGAUUUAAGAUUAAUUUUUAUUUCUUUCAAUAAAUAAAAAAUAUUAACAAUACAAAGUAUUUUAAGCUUACACAUUUUAUAUUAUACUAAAACUAUUGUUAUUGACAAAACAAUGUAUUUUCAUUUUGAAAAAAGUUCGUUAGAAGCGAGUGUUUAACAUGUUUUUUUUUGUAUUGUGAAUGAAUUUCAAUAUGUUGAAAACAAACCAAGCUAUUGCACCCGGUCUUUUCCGUUGGCGGUGUGGAUGUUUAACAUGUUUUCUUCGUAUUGUGAAUGAAUUUCAAUAUGUUAAAAAACAAACUUAACUAUUGCAUCUAGUCUUUUUCCAAAAUGAAAAUAUAUUGUUUAGUUAAUAAUAACACUUUUAGUAAAAUUUAAAAUUUGUGAAAAUAUUUACAUUAUACUAAAACUAUUAUUAUAAACUAAACUUAAAAUAUUUUAAAGGAAAAUUUAAAAUAUUUUCCCAAUAAAUUUAUUACCAUAUAAAAUAUUUUCAGAUUUAAGAUUAAUUUUUAAUUAUU